rnacentral:rRNA from 2 species
UGGUGUUCGGGUUGUCAUGCCAAUGGCACUGCCCGGUAGCUAAAUGCGGAAGAGAUAAGUGCUGAAAGCAUCUAAGCACGAAACUUGCCCCGAGAUGAGUUCUCCCUGAGACUUAGAGUCUCCUGAAGGAACGUUGAAGACGACGACGUUGAUAGGCCGGGUGUGUAAGCGCAGCGAUGCGUUGAGCUAACCGGUACUAAUGAACCGUGAGGCUUAACCUU